rnacentral:rRNA from 1 species
CCUACGGUAGGCAGCAGUGGGGAAUAUUGGACAAUGGGCGAAAGCCUGAUCCAGCAAUGCCGCGUGAGUGAUGAAGGCCUUAGGGUUGUAAAGCUCUUUUACCAGGGAUGAUAAUGACAGUACCUGGAGAAUAAGCUCCGGCUAACUCCGUGCCAGCAGCCGCGGUAAUACGGAGGGAGCUAGCGUUGUUCGGAAUUACUGGGCGUAAAGCGUACGUAGGCGGUUAUUCAAGUCAGAGGUGAAAGCCUGGAGCUCAACUCCAGAACUGCCUUUGAAACUAGAUAGCUAGAAUCACGGAGAGGUUAGUGGAAUUCCGAGUGUAGAGGUGAAAUUCGUAGAUAUUCGGAAGAACACCAGUGGCGAAGGCGACUAACUGGACGUGUAUUGACGCUGAGGUACGAAAGCGUGGGGAGCAAACAGGAUUAGAUACCCUGGUAGUCCACGCCGUAAACGAUGAUAACCUAGCUGUUCGGUCUCUACGAGACUGAGUGGCGCAGCUAACGCAUUAAGUUAUCCGCCUGGGGUAANCGGUCGCAAGNUUAAAACUCAAAUGAAUUGACCGGNNGAGCGNGCGACGACGACGACGAGGAGAGG